UACGAAGGGGGCUAGCGUUGCUCGGAAUCACUGGGCGUAAAGCGCACGUAGGCGGCUUUCUAAGUCAGGGGUGAAAUCCUGGAGCUCAACUCCAGAACUGCCUUUGAUACUGGAGAGCUUGAGUCCGGAAGAGGUGAGUGGAACUCCGAGUGUAGAGGUGAAAUGCGCAGAUAUCGGGAAGAACACCCGUAGCUAAGGCGGCUCUCUAGUACGGUACUGACGCUGAGACGCGAAAGCGUGGGGAGCGAACAGG
rnacentral:rRNA from 1 species